UGUGUGUAACAAGCAUAGUGUGUGCUGUGCACGAGCCUGUAUGUGCAAUUCACUAGUAUUCUGUUAAAAUAACAAUGACAUGUUGCGUUAUUUACUUUAGACCAGGUUUUUGUUUGUCGAUGGCGCGAUCACUUCUCGCUGCCUCAAGAUAGCAAUACUUCCU